rnacentral:rRNA from 1 species
GACAGAGGCCCCAAGCGUUAGGCGGAAUCACUGGGCUUAAAGCGUGUGUAGGCGGAUCGUUAAGUGUCUUGUGAAAUCCCACGGCUCACCCGUGGAACUGCUGGGCAUACUGGCGAUCUUGGGCCAACUAGGGGCAGCCGGAACAAGCGGUGGAGCGGUGAAAUGCGUAGAUAUCGCUUGGAACGCCGAAGGUGAAAACAGGCUGCUGGGGUUGCGCCGACGCUGAGACACGAAAGCGUGGGGAUCAAACAGG